rnacentral:lncRNA from 1 species
GCUCAGUACUCUGCCGGCUUCAGUGCAAGGCACCUGCUUCAAACAGUUACAUUCAUAAACACCUAAACUAAACGAAACCAAAAAAGUGUUGCUAUAUCCAAUUACAGACUACAUACCGCCAUAACUUUAGUACAUUUUAAUGAGUUAGUAAAUCAUCAUUCUAAAUAUACUUCUCAUAAACACGUAGAUGUGUAGAUGUACAAAUGUUUGCCGGUGCACCUAUCUCUCUGCCGAAAUAUUGUAUCGAUCGGAAGAUAAAUUUCGAUAAGGACUGAUAAGUUUUGUUAUAGUUUUAAAUAGUAAGAACGGUCACUAGGCUUCAGUCGUGGACAACUGUCAGACUCGCGAUCAGUGAUUACAAAGUUUUUCUAAUUUAAAUCAACAAAAUGUGCUGCUGUGUGUGUAAUCUCUUGUGCAAGAUCCUCAGUUUGAUCGUAUCUCUACUGUUCAUCGUGGCUGUGAUACUGCUCAUCUUAUGGGGCGUUGGAGUUAUAUUUGGCAAUAAUGAUACCGACACCGCCAAAGCGCUGAGCUUUAACGAAAUGACCUACAAUAACCCGAAACUACUUUGAUUACAACGGCGACCUAUCUUCAUAAAUCUUACUAUACUUAUAAUACGAAAAAUGCAAUCCUGUGUACUCGUCAAUAUACACGAAAAAGAUCAAAAUGUAACUUCUCUCUCACUGUUUUAAUUGUAUAAAUUAUUACUUAUUAUAAUAUAAUGUAAGCUAUUUUCUAAUCUUCAUUCUUUUCUUUCUCUCCUUCUCUUUAGUUUUAAUUGUAAAUAUAGCUUAAGUUAUAAAUAUAAACGUUGCUAGUUAUGAAUAUAUUGCACUAUAUUGUAUAUCUAGCUUCACGCAUUCAAUGCAUUUUAAAAACAUGUGACUAUUGGAUAAAACAUACUCUUGACAUAUGACUGAAUCUUGUCUAAAUCUUUGACUUUUAUGAUCAAAGGUCAAUUGACUUGUAACCCAACAAUCGCAUGUGUAAGUUCGCUUUUAUAUACAGUAUGUCUAUGAAUAUCUUCGCUGAUGGCAAAGAACAAACAACUAACAAACUAUUCGAAUUACCUCCACCAAUUACGUAUUUGACCUGAACCAAUUGAUAGAGCAUAUAUGUAAGUAAAUUGCCCGUAGUUAGUAGGUAAGUACAUGGUUACACUUCGUUUGUUUUGAGUAACUUAUGAUGUAUCACAUUUCUUCAUCUAACAAUUAAUGAAAAGAUCUUUUAGACAUUAAGCUCUUACACAGUUUAAGGCUCAUAUACAAAUAUGGCUAGCAAAUAAAUGUUUAAAUAGAAGGUUGUUAUUUACUCGCUCAAGUCAAAAUUAUCUUGAUCACACUAUAUCUGCUUGAAUAAUACAAUGUACUGGGAUCGAUCUAUCAUCACUGACAAGACUUUAGUAGCCAAGGAAUAAGCCUGAUAUAGUGUUGAUAGAUCGCUUAACGCUCUGCGCUAUGAUAGUCGAUGUCGCUGUCACGCAUGAGGAGAACCUCGUGAGAGCUGAGAAACAGAAACAAAUAUAGUAUCUCGACCCUCCACGAGGUUGUCGCCAUGUGGAAUGUCAACACGGCUGUUAUUGUGCCGAUUGUCGUUACGGCAAAUGGUCUAAUAGCCAAGAGCCUCGACCAACACCUCAUGAGGCUCUCGUUAGGUGGCUAGAUCAAGGGUCGGAUUCAGGGGGCAGUACUCCUUGAUACGGCGCGUAUUGUGAUGAUGUUUCUGUCCCUGGCGCCCUACUUACCGGUACCUUGUGGCUGAUGUCGCGAUGUCAGUGACCACCUAUUUUUAUAUUUUUGAAUGUUUUAUAUUUAAAAAAAAAACAAUAUGUAAACAAUUUAAUGAAUAUAGGAGAUAAUGUUAUCACCGGUUUCCCCAUUCCUUUUCCGUUGAUAUCCCAUCACAAUAGGCCGAGUAGUUACCAUGCGAUCUGAACACAUGUGACUCACUCGUCUUAGCAUUGUACUUGAGUCACAAUAAAAAGUACGAUCAAGAAGAGUUUUUGUCAAUUAUUUUCAUCCAUAAACAAUUUUGAAGUUUUAGACAGACCUGUCAAAGUAAUUUGUAAGAAUGUCACCAGUUCAGUCUUUGCUAACGCUAAAUAUUAUAAUUAACACGUUAAUUCCGAGAAUAGAACUAACUACAGAAUAAUUAUUUGUUUAUAACGCUUAGAAGUCAUCAUAUAAUUGUGGAAACCUAUGGAUUUAUAGUAAGAAGCAGAAAACACAAACAUGUGGUAACUAUGUUUUACUUUUCGAAAAGACACUUCGAAUUGAACCCUCUUAUGGCAAUAAGAGAACUGUAUGCAUUUAGGCAGCAUAACCAUUCGUCAUUUUAUUCUCAAUAAAAAGCAACAGUUUUGUAUGGAAGCCACUUUAUUCAACAAAUUCUCCUACUAAGAAUAUUACUUGCACCUCACAACGCAAUAUAAAACACUAACAUGUCAGUUAUUUUAGGAAUUAUAAAAUACGACCAGUACAAGUUCACAGCGAGUUUGAAAUAAAUAAAAUGUAAACAAUAGCCAACUGGUCACGGACGAUUCUAUUUCGAAGUUUUAUGCGUUGGUAAUCAUUCUUUGUAACUUUAUAGCCGUACUAUAUAACAGAUUAGCCCAUUGCCUUUACGUACCUAGUCGGUAAUGUAUUAUGUUAUGACCCAUCUCAAAUAUCCGGCCACAUCAAACUUAUGGAUUAAAUGAGUCUAUAUUGGUUAUUGUGACGAAGAUAAUGAGCAUAAAUCUGGAUUGAUAUAGUGGAAAUACUUUUACUAUAAUCAGUGCCUUCUCUAAUAAUUUGAUAACAUUUGCUACUGCUGCUAAACACUUGGUAAGCCAAAAGGCUGGGUAAAUUCCAUACUCAAAAACAUCAUUAUUUAACGAAUUUAUACCUAAUUAUAUAUUACACCUAAAAUUAGGCUUUACGUCAUAAUAUUGUGGUUUCCACUAGGAUAUAGUGACGACAGUUAACAAACAGGAUGCGCGAUGGUUUCGGUAAUGCGUAGAUAGCAUCAAAGGCGAUUAACACACGGAAAUUACUUAGUAAAUAGUUAUAGAUAGGUUAUUGGUGUGAACAGAUAACACGAGGCUCUUUUGGGAGUGUCUAGUUACCAAAAUAUAAUAAAGCAUUAGUAUAUAGACUUAUUGAGACUUUCUGACUUUUCUGACAGCCAUUUUAUCAUGCCUUCCGGAACACGGAGGAACUCGUUAUGACAAAAUGGUCAUCCAUCCAUGGACCGACCGAUUCUAUCGAUUGACCCACACAGCUAUGUGGCUAAGUGACAACUUAACCACGAACUCCUCCGAACAAAAAAUGCAGUCAACUUAGCAAAUGACGUUGAAUGAUAGGUAAUAAGCUACAAACUUGAAAAACUACAAAACACCGGUUUUUUAAAUAUUGUUCCCUCAAAUCUCCUUCAAACACAUGUGCGCGCGCUAAAAGUUCACAAAAAAAUUGACAUACUCAAGAAGAGAUCUUUGUAAGAAGACGAUUCUUGUGACCGCGAUCGCAUGCCAAGGUAUGUACUAUUUUGUAGCUUAUUACCUUAAAUUCUAAUGUGCUAAGUUAAAAUGACUGAUACGUAAUUAUUUAAUUACUACCUAUAUUUAUUGAUAACUUUUUUUCAGCUUUAUGUGCAAGCUUCUUUGUCAGAUCUGCAGCUUGACGAUGGGUGUCAUGGUUGUCGGUGCGAUCUUCUUUUUAGCAUUCUGGUUCCUUCGAUGGUUAUUCGAUAGCUAAAUCAAGAUUAUAAUUUAGAUUGUAAGUCUAAGUUAUAAGUCAAAGGAUUGACUUUAAGGAUUGGUUUAAGUUAAGACUUAAGUUUUAGUAGUUCGGUUUACAACUGCACGCUUUUGACUAUCAUGACAUGUUGGCGGUUGAAGAUGUCUUCUUUACCAUGAAAAUAUGAUCUUAAAAUAAUUUUAUUCUGGCUCAAGGUAAAAUAAAUAAAUUGUAUUAAACUCUA